GAUGAACGCUGGCGGCGUGCCUGACACGUGCAAGUCGAGCGGGAAGGUAAUGAUUGAUUCUUCGGAUGAGAGAUUUACUAGACAGCGGCGGACGGGUGAGUAACGCGUGGAUAACCUGCCUUAUACUGGGGGAUAACGUUUUGAAAAGAACGCUAAUACCGCAUAAGCGCACAGCUUCGCAUGAAGCAGUGUGAAAGACUCCGGUGGUAUAAGAUGGAUCCGCGUCAGAUUAGCUAGUUGGUGAGAUAAAAGCUCACCAAGGCGACGAUCUGUAGCCGACCUGAGAGGGUGAUCGGCCACAUUGGGACUGAGACACGGCCCAA
rnacentral:rRNA from 1 species